rnacentral:lncRNA from 1 species
CUACGGAUGAUUCCGACAACAAAAGUAGGCGAGUUAUACACCAUUGUUAAGAUAAAUCAAUUUAGAUUUACGACAUAACAAGUUUUAGUGGGGUUGACAGCCGAGAAAUCGGCAUUUAACGGAAUUUCGUCACCGCCUGGUAUUUUUCUAAUUCGCGAGUUAAGUACCUUGUGUUAUAUAAAGGUAUAUAGGGGGAAAAACGAGACGAGCGCCUGUGGUUAAGCACCACAUGUAGCUCAAGCGUACGGAAAUAUUGUGUAACGCGUUACUCUAUGAUAUGGGAACUGACUUUUACACGUUGCUCUAGUGUAUGCAUACUAAAAAGUGAAAAUAAAGAUACUCAACUUCAAGGAAAAUUAAAAACGGAAAUUUCUUUACCAAAAGAAAAAACCAAAAGCCCAAACACAUAAAUGAAUUGAAAACAACUGACAUAUUGCUGACUCGGUACAUACAUUUAUUUAUGUUUAAAAUGGUGGAUAAGGCCUGUUUUUAUAUCUACCUCUCACUUGUAUGACAGUCGCAUAAAAUUUCAAUAUAUUGAAAACAAUGUGCGAGAAAAAAAAACAGACAUAAUAGGGAAAAUGUCAAAAAUAAGGGUACAGCAACGUUAUAUUCCUAAUAACUAUAUCGAAUCAGUUGGGAAAUGUAUAUCCCAUAUAUAGGCG